GACGAACGCUGGCGGCGUGCUUAACACAUGCAAGUCGAACGAGUGGCGAACGGGUGAGUAAUACGUGAGUAACCUGACCUCCUUUAUGGGAUAAGCCUUGGAAAAGGGGUCUAAUACCGGAUAAAGGGGGGUGGGCUCGCGGUCUAUUAGCUUGUUGGUGGGGUGAUGGCUACCAAGGCGUGAAGGGGAGCCUGCCUGAGGGGGUGACCGGCCACAUUGGGACUGAGACACGGCCCAGACUCCUACGUGAGGCAGCAGUGGGGAAUAUUGCACAAGGGGCGCAAGCCUGAUGCAGCCAGGCCGCGUGUAUGAAGAAGGCCUUCGGGUUGUAAAGUACUUUCAGCGGGAGAGCGUUACCCGCAGAAGAAGCACCGGCUAACUCCGUGCCAGCAGCCGCGGUAAUAC
rnacentral:rRNA from 1 species